rnacentral:rRNA from 1 species
CGUGUAGGCGGCCCGGUAAGUCCGCUGUGAAAGUCCAGGGCUCAACCCUGGGAUGCCGGUGGAUACUGUCGGGCUCGAGUCCGGAAGAGGAGUGUGGAAUUCCUGGUGUAGCGGUGAAAUGCGCAGAUAUCAGGAGGAACACCAAUGGCGAAGGCAGCACUCUGGGACGUGACUGACGCUGAGACGCGAAAGCGUGGGGAGCAAACAGGAUUAGAUACCCUGGUAGUCCACGCUGUAAACGAUGGGCACUAGGUGUGGGGGGUGUCGACUCCCUCCGUGCCGAAGCUAACGCAUUAAGUGCCCCGCCUGGGGAGUACGGCCGCAAGGCUAAA